rnacentral:rRNA from 1 species
CUACGGGACGCUCCAGUAGGGAAUAUUGCGCAAUGGGCGAAAGCCUGAUGCAGCAACGCCGCGUGCGCGAUGAAGGCCUUCGGGUUGUAAAGCGCUUUUCUGAGGGAAGAGGAAGGACUGUACCUCAGGAAUAAGUCUCGGCUAACUACGUGCCAGCAGCCGCGGUAACACGUAGGAGGCAAGCGUUAUCCGGAUUUACUGGGCGUAAAGCGCGUGUAGGCGGUUUGGCAAGUCGGAUGUGAAAGCUCCUGGCUCAACUGGGAGAGGUCGUUCGAAACUGCCAGACUAGAGGACGGUAGAGGAAGAUGGAAUUCCCGGUGUAGUAGUGAAAUGCGUAGAUAUCGGGAGGAACACCAGUGGCGAAGGCGGUCUUCUGGGCCGUUCCUGACGCUGAGACGCGAAAGCAUGGGUAGCGAACGGGAUUAGAUACCCUAGUAGUC